GAUGAAGAACGUAGCGAAAUGCGAUAAGUAAUGUGAAUUGCAGAAUUCAGUGAAUCAUCGGAUCUUUGAACGCACAUUGCGCCCGCCAGUAUUCUGGCGGGCAUGCCUGUUCGAGCGUCAUUUCAACCCUCAGGCCCCCAGUGCCUGGUGUUGGGGAUCGGCCCAGCCUUCCUGUAAGGCCGCCGGCCCCGAAAUCUAGUGGCGGUCUCGCUGUAGUCCUCCUCUGCGUAGUAGCACAACCUCGCAGUUGGAACGCGGCGGUGGCCAUGCCGUUAAACACCCCACUUCUGAAAGUUGACCUCGGAUCAGGUAGGAAUACCCGCUGAACUUAAGCAUAUCAAUAAGCGGAGGA
rnacentral:misc_RNA from 1 species